CCUACGGGUGGCUGCAGUGAGGAAUAUUGGUCAAUGGGCGCAAGCCUGAACCAGCCAAGUCGCGUGAGGGAAGACGGUCCUAUGGAUUGUAAACCUCUUUUGUCGGGGAGCAAAGCGCGGUACGAGUGCCGUGAAGCAGAGUACCCGAAGAAAAAGCAUCGGCUACCUCCGUGCCAGCAGCCGCGGUAUUACGGGGGAUGCGAGCGUUAUCCGGAUUGUUUGGGUUAAAAGGGUACGUGGGGGGUUUUGUAAGUCAGCGUGAAAAAUGCGGUGCUCAACGCCGUAUCGCCGUUGAAACUGGAAGUCUUGAGUGAGCGUGAAGUAUGCGGAAUGCGUGGUGUAGCGGUGAAAUGCAUAGAUAUCACGCAGAACUCCGAUUGCGAAGGCAGCAUACCGGCGCACAACUGACGCUGAGGCACGAAAGCGUGGGGAUCGAACAGGAUUAGAUACCCCUGUAGUC
rnacentral:rRNA from 1 species